rnacentral:misc_RNA from 1 species
CACCAAUUGAUAACUAAGGAUUCAGACGGUGUUUGAAAUGGUGACACGUGGUUGAGAUGGUUUCGGGGUAAUACGAGUGCUAUAGUAUUUUUUGAGGUUCAUACGACUACUUAUUUAUGGUAUUAUGCUACUGCGACUACUUCCAAGAAAUUUUAGGGAGAGUAAUUCUAAUGGAGUCAUGGUGUAGGCCAAGAAAAUUUGCCCGCUCGGUAUGGAAGGGUCUUUAUUUAUAGAGCAAUUGAGCCAAUGCUUGUCAGGCACGUGUAAAAGUAUUACAAGUGGGUUGUAUUAAUUAUGGGAGUCUAUUUCUUAAGUCUAAUUAGAUUAUUUUAUGGUAAUAAUAACUCUGACAUGCUUGAGUUGAUAGUGAUGGGUGGUAACAAGUCAGAUCAGUGUAAUAAACAAUUCAUCCUACUUGUUUAUUUUUGGAGACACUUUGGCUCAAACAGGUCGGGAGGAAUAUAAUCUAUGCUUGGAUAAUGCAAUACUUCUAAACCAUACUUCCUUGAGCCUUACGUAGGACAAUUAAUGAAUGCGAUAGCCUUAUAAAAGAAUUUGGUUUCCUAGGUUUAUACAUCCCUUUUGUACCGAGUUCUUUUGCCCCAAGGAUGUUUUUAUGGUGGCUUUCCUUUUUAAUAUGAAUGAAUACUGUUGAUGGGGUUCUUUAUAGAAUAUUUUAGUUGUAUAGUAAUUAAAAUAUUAAUUAUGUCCAUUUGGAAAAAUCACACUAGUAGGUAGUAAGGAUAAUAUACGUGGCAUAGUUGUUGUCAUUCUAUAAAUGUAUAAGGUGUAUCAAUUUACUUAUAUGUCCUGUGCACAUAUAUGACAACUGGCUACUUGGUACUGCUUGAUUCUGUGCUUUAUCAUUCUCGCUUGGUUCAAAUUCUUUUGUCGGUAAAGAGAAUUAUUGAUGAGAAUAUCUGUUUUCUGUAUUUUACAAAUUUGAUCGUGAUUAUUCAGUUAGUUGGUACUGUUUCAACAUUUGAUAAUUAUAUGGUCAAGAAUAUGAGUGAGACAAGUUUACUUAUAUACACUGCUUAACCCACUACCAGCUGUUUUCUUGAGUAAAUUUUAUUUUCAGUUCAGCCUCUGUGUUAAUGAUGAAACUUUGCUAUAAGGAUGAUUUUAUAAAGAAGGGAUUUGAUAUAGUUUAAUGGAAUUUGCAUUAUAGGCAUCCUAACUAUAUUUAUAUUUCAAGGUAUCAUCAAGUUAUUAGAUCUCAUAUUCUUUGGAAUACAUUUUUUAUAAAAAUUCAAG